rnacentral:rRNA from 1 species
UUACAAAGUAGCUGCAGUCGUAUGAUACCCAUCUGAGAUAUCGGUACCAAUGGAAUCAGGCUUGUUCUUGAUUUCAAUCGGUUUCUCACCCCAUCUAAGCUCAUGGAGAGGUGUCUAGUCCCAAUUGGAGUCGCUUUGAGUGACGGCUAUGAAAAUUGGGUAUGUUCCCCGUGAGGGUCGAGCAUAGACUUUAUGAACAGUGCUGGAGCUGUCGCCUCACCAAAAAAUCAUCGAUAACUGGUGGCUAUGUGUGACAUUAGUCACAUAGGUAUCUGCUGAUGCAGAGAGCCUUAAUGAGUUGUUCGUGUCAUCUGACCUACAACCGCCAGUAUCGGUAAAUCAACCCAAUUAACUUGUUUCUUGUGUCGUGUUAAUACAUACUGGCAAAGUGUAUUAGCUUUAGCGAUGGAUCGGUUGAUUCGCGUAUCGAUGAAAAACGCAGCAAGCUGCGUUAUUUACCACGAAUUGCAGACGCUUAGAGUGGUGAAGUUUUGAACGCACAGCGCCGUUGGGUUUUCCCUUCGGCACGUCUGGCUCAGGGUUGUUUAAUAAGCGAAAGUGUUGAAAGUUCAUUAAACGAGAGUUCGGUGAUACUGACAACACUACGUCGAGCGGUGUACUGUUGAAAGUACCCCGUUCAAGUAUCUUUAUGGGGCAACAUGUCUUCUAUAUGGAGACAUGAAAGAUAUUAAGAGUAUAUACCUGUGGAUGCCCACGUAUGAAAUAUGACGUGUCGUAUACACGGCUAGGAGGUAUGUCUCAGAUGAAUUUGUUUAUGCAACCUGAGCUCAGUCGUGAUCUACCCGCUGAACUUAAGCAUAUACCGG